rnacentral:rRNA from 1 species
CACGUAGGGGGCAAGCGUUGUCCGGAUUUAUUGGGCGUAAAGAGCUCGUAGGCGGCUCAGUAAGUCAGGUGUGAAACCUCCAGGCUCAACCUGGAGACGCCACCUGAUACUGCUGUGGCUAGAGUCCGGUAGGGGAGCGUGGAAUUCCUGGUGUAGCGGUGGAAUGCGCAGAUAUCAGGAGGAACACCGGUGGCGAAGGCGGCGUCCUGGACCAACACUGACACUGAUGAGCGAAAGCCAGGGGAGCAAACAGG